rnacentral:rRNA from 1 species
AUAAGAGGUCCUGCCUGCCCUGUGACUAUACGUUUAACGGCCGCGGUAUUUUGACCGUGCGAAGGUAGCGCAAUCACUUGUCUUUUAAAUGGAGACCUGUAUGAAUGGCAAGACGAGGGCUUGACUGUCUCCUCUUUCAAGUCAAUGAAAUUGAUCUCCCCGUGCAGAAGCGGGGAUAUAAUCAUAAGACGAGAAGACCCUAUGGAGCUUUAGACACCAAAGUAGCCCCUGUUAAACACCCCUGCUUAAAGGACUAAACCGAAGGGGUCCUACCCUAAUGUCUUUGGUUGGGGCGACCGCGGGGAAACACAAAACCCCCAUGUGGAACGGGACCACCCAUUCCUAAAACAGAGAGCUCCUGCUCUAAGAAACAAAAUUUUUGACCUCCAGAUCCGGCAAAGCCGAUCAACGGACCGAGUUACCCUAGGGAUAACAGCGCAAUCCUCUUUUAGAGCCCAUAUCGACAAGGGGGUUUACGACCUCGAUGUUGGAUCAGGACAUCCUAAUGGUGCAGCCGCUAUUAAGGGUUCGUUUGUUCAACGAUUAAAGUCC